rnacentral:rRNA from 1 species
AACGAACGCUGGCGGCAUGCCUAACACAUGCAAGUCGAACGAGACCUUCUGGUCUAGUGGCGCACGGGUGCGUAACGCGUGGGAACCUGCCCUUAGGUUCGGAAUAACUCCCCGAAAGGGGUGCUAAUACCGGAUAAUGUCUUCGGACCAAAGAUUUAUCGCCUUUGGAUGGGCCCGCGUUGGAUUAGCUAGUUGGUAGGGUAAAAGCCUACCAAGGCGACGAUACAUAGCUGGUCUGAGAGGAUGAUCAGCGACACUGGGACUGAGACACGGCCCAGACUCCUACGGGAGGCAGCAGAGGGGAAUAUUGGAAAAUGGGCGAAAGCCUGAUCCAGUAAUGCCGCGUGAGUGAUGAAGGCAGUAGGGUUGUAAAGCUCUUUUACCCGGGAGGAUAAUGACAGUACCGGGAGAAUAAGCACCGGCUAACUACGUG